AAAACUGAAAAUCUCAAGAGGAUUCCAGGAAAUCAAAACAAUGAAUUAUUGAAUCAAGAAUUUGAAAGAGAAAAUAGAUGCAUACUGAAAAAAGAAUUUUGUUUAGUGAGAUAGAUGUAAUAAUGAAGGCAUGUUGAUAACGGGGGAGCUAUGUAUAUAUGAGGGGAGGGAUAUAUUGGAAAUCUCUGUAUCUUCCUCUCAAUCUUGCUGUGAUCCUAAAACUGCUCUAAAAAAUAUUUUGAGAAGGAAUAAUGAUGUGGUAAACAUGUUCUGUUAUUUAAAAAGAGAGACUUUUCAUAGCCGCCUCCCUCCCCCUCUACACACACACAGAGUCCUGUCCGUCUUCAUUCCCUUACUCAAUAAUUUGUACAGACACAGCCACUGGGCUCCAGUAAUCCUAAAGUUUCUAGAAAAUCAAGCACAGAAAAAGGUUAAAACCCUGAGGGAAUAAAAGAAUUCCUUUGCAUCCAUUGCAUUUCUCAGGAAGUGAACUAACAAAUUCACUGCUUUUAAAUGAGGAAAUUUUCUCAGUGAAAUUGAUUCCAAACCUUCGUUAGGUCAACUGUUCCCAGAUUUCUUAGCUGAUGCCUGAUCUGACUAUUCCUUAUCUUUAGUACAGAAACCAAGGUGAAUGACCUUUAAAAAACAUAUUAGACUGUUGACGUGUCUUCUAUGUUGUACUCUAGGUAAAAACGAUAAACCAGGAAAAAGAAAGUAAAAUUCAACCUUAGGCUCAUGGAUCCAGAGUGGAUAAUUAUGAGUCUGUAGUAUCUACAUGCAUGUGAUGAGGUUCAAGGACAAUAACCAUAAAGCAAAGACUUAAAAGGUUUUAUCAUUAGAAUAAUUGUAAUUCACUUGAUCUCUCAAUGUAACAAUACUUCGGUCUACUGUCUCAAGCCAUUAUUAUGUCUUACACUCAGCAUAUUGGUUUGUCUACCAUUAAAUAUUUAUUUUCUACAGUGCUUUCUGGAAGGCAAACAAAGCAGCCACUCUGCUACUUUAUAUUGAUUCCUGAGUUGUCCUUCGGAAACGCUUUCAGGAAGUUUAAUAGGUUUGAAAGAUAUUUAGACCUGUGACUGGCAAAUAUACUUCCUUCUUUUUAUUUCAAUAAGAGAGUACUAGAACUUAGAUCUUUAUUGUUUAAUCUAGUCAGUGCUGUCAUUGUCAAUCAAGUUCUCAAAUGACACUUGUCCUGAGCUGUAACUGAUCUAUUCAGAAGAAUAUGAAAAUAGUAAAGACGGCAACUAUGCAUGUUUUUACCGGACACGAUUUUAAUUGCUUUAAAAUGAAGUUAUGCAACCAAUGAGGAAUGGAGCUUUUGGAGUGGCCUGAAGCUAAAGGUUUCAGGUGUAUUUUUGCUUUCUUUGAAGAAAGAACCAAAUCAUUUUAUUUAAUAAAAAGGCCAUUUAUCAAGAAUUUCUUAAAGCUGUUUUAAACCUGAGUUUGCAAUUUAUAGAAUAUGUUCAAGCAGCCUCAGUGCCCUUUUAAUUGGAUGGUUUUCACAGAUUUAUCCAAUUUGAGAUUUAUCCAGUGAGAAUUCCCUUUGUUCAAGUAUAUAUGUCUUCUCUUCCAUAAAGCAGAUUCAAAUGAAAGAGUGCAAUCUGAUAUAUCAGACAUGUCAGUUAUACAUUUGAUGUGGUAAAUUUAUAAGAGAGGCCAAUUAUUGUUAUGAAAAAAUACAAUGAAAUACAUGAUAGUCAUUUACUGUUUUUAUAACUAAUCUAAAAGUAUUUACUAAAAAGAAACUAUUUCUUUUCAUAUGUACUUUACUUUUUACUUUAACCCUUCAUAUGUCCUUUAAAUAAAGAGAAGAAAAAAAGUCAUUUAUAUUUAUCCACAUAUUUUCUAUUUCAGGUGGUCCUCAUUCAUUCUUGUAGAUCCAAGUUACCAUCUGUUAUUAUUUUCUUUGUCACCUGAAGAAUUUUCAGAACUAUUUCUUCCUAUAUGUAGCAUGUAUAGAUACUCUAAAAAGUCCAUUAUAUGAUGUAUAAAACAAAGCAUACAAUGUAGUCUCUGC
rnacentral:lncRNA from 1 species